AUCUAACUGACGAGUCUCAAAUAGGACGAAACACGAGUCAAACUGGAU
rfam:Schistosoma mattheei strain Denwood, Zambia genome assembly, scaffold: SMTD_scaffold0021287